rnacentral:rRNA from 1 species
UGCGAUAAGCGCCGGUAAGGUGAUAUGAACCGUUAUAACCGGCGAUUUCCGAAUGGGGAAACCCAGUGUGAUUCGUCACACUAUCAUUAACUGAAUCCAUAGGUUAAUGAGGCGAACCGGGGGAACUGAAACAUCUAAGUACCCCGAGGAAAAGAAAUCAACCGAGAUUCCCCCAGUAGCGGCGAGCGAACGGGGAGGAGCCCAGAGCCUGAAUCAGCAUGUGUGUUAGUGGAAGCGUCUGGAAAGGCGCGCGAUACAGGGUGACAGCCCCGUACACAAAAGCGCAUGUGCUGUGAGCUCGAUGAGUAGGGCGGGACACGUGGUAUCCUGUCUGAAUAUGGGGGGACCAUCCUCCAAGGCUAAAUACUCCUGACUGACCGAUAGUGAACCAGUACCGUGAGGGAAAGGCGAAAAGAACCCCGGCGAGGGGAGUGAAAAAGAACCUGAAACCGUGUACGUACAAGCAGUGGGAGCACCCUUCGGGGUGUGACUGCGUACCUUUUGUAUAAUGGGUCAGCGACUUAUAUUCUGUAGCAAGGUUAACCGUAUAGGGGAGCCGUAGGGAAACCGAGUCUUAAC